GUAUUAGGUUGGUGCAAAAGUAAUUUUGGUUUUUGCUGUUGCCUUUAAUGGCAAAAACAGCAAUUACUUUUGCACCAACCUAACAUAUUU
rnacentral:miRNA from 1 species